rnacentral:rRNA from 1 species
GAGUUUGAUCAUGGCUCAGAUCGAACGCUGGCGGCAUGCCUUACACAUGCAAGUCGAACGGCAGCAUGAUYUAGCUUGCUAGAUUGAUGGCGAGUGGCGAACGGGUGAGUAAUACAUCGGAACGUGCCCUGUAGUGGGGGAUAACUAGUCGAAAGAUUAGCUAAUACCGCAUACGACCUGAGGGUAAAAGUGGGGGACCGCAAGGCCUCAUGCUAUAGGAGCGGCCGAUGUYUGAUUAGCUAGUUGGUGGGGUAAAGGCCCACCAAGGCGACGAUCAGUAGCUGGUCUGAGAGGACGAUCAGCCACACUGGGACUGAGACACGGCCCAGACUCCUACGGGAGGCAGCAGUGGGGAAUUUUGGACAAUGGGCGAAAGCCUGAUCCAGCAAUGCCGCGUGUGUGAAGAAGGCCUUCGGGUUGUAAAGCACUUUUGUCCGGAAAGAAAUGGCUYUGGUUAAUACCUGGG